GCCAGCAGCCGCGGUAAUUCCAGCUCCAAUAGCGUAUAUUAAAGUUGUUGUGGUUAAAAAGCUCGUAGUUGGAUCUCAACAGCCUUGAAGCGGUUAACUUUGUAGUUUUACUGCUUUAUAGGCUGUGCUUUUGCUGGAGGUUUAGGGGUGCUCUUGAUCGAGUGUCUCUGGAUGCCAGCAGGUUUACUUUGAAAAAAUUAGAGUGCUCAAAGCAGGCUAAAAUGCCUGAAUAUUCGUGCAUGGAAUAAUAGAAUAGGAUGUCGAUCCUAUUUUGUUGGUUUUCGGGACUCGACAUAAUGAUAAAUAGGGACAGUCGGGGGCAUUUGUAUUCAAACGACAGAGGUGAAAUUCUUGGACCGUUUGAAGACAAACUACUGCGAAAGCAUUUGCCAAGAAUGUUUUCAUUAAUCAAGAACGAAAGUUAGAGGUUCGAAGGCGAUUAGAUACCGCCCUAGUUCUAACCAUAAACGAUGCCAGCUAGCGAUCUGCCUGCGUUUUUACUGUAGACUGGGCAGGAAGCUUCCGGGAAACCAAAGCAUUUGGGUUCCAGGGGAAGUAUGGUUGCAAAGCUGAAACUUAAAGGAAUUGACGGAAGGGCACCACCAGGAGUGGAGCCUGUGGCUUAAUUUGACUCAACACGGGAAAUCUCACCAGGCCCGGACACUGGAAGGAUUGACAGAUUGAUAGCUCUUUCUUGAUUCGGUGGGUGGUGGUGCAUGGCCGUUCUUAGUUGGUGGAGUGAUUUGUCUGGUUAAUUCCGAUAACGAACGAGACUCUGUCCUGCUAAAUAGUUUCUACUUCUCUUUUGAGUAGAAAUUUCUUCUUAGAGGGACUGGUGACUCUUAGUCACACGAGAUUGAGCAAUAACAGGUCUGUGAU
rnacentral:rRNA from 1 species